GAUGAACGCUAGCGGCAGGCUUAACUACAUGCAAGUCGAGGGGCAACACGGGUAGCAAUACCUGGUGGCGACCGGCGCAAGGGUGCGUAACGCGUGAGCAACAUGCCCUAUACAGGGGGAUAAUCCAGGGAAACUUGGUCUAAUAUCCCAUAGUAUUUAGAGGUGGCAUCACCACUAAAUUAAAGCUUCGGUGGUAUAGGAUUGGCUCGCGUGACAUUAGCUGGAUGGUGGGGUAACGGCUCACCAUGGCGAUGAUGUCUAGGGGUUCUGAGAGGAAGACCCCCCACACUGGGACUGAGACACGGCCCAGACUCCUACGGGAGGCAGCAGUGAGGAAUAUUGGACAAUGGGUGGGAAAUCUGAUCCAGCCAUGCCGCGUGCAGGAAGACGGCCCUAUGGGUUGUAACUGCUUUUAUAUGGGAGCAAUAAGGUUUACGCGUAGACCGAUGAGAGUACCAUAUGAAUAAGCAUCGGCUAACUCCGUG
rnacentral:rRNA from 1 species